rnacentral:lncRNA from 1 species
UAAUCUCAACAAAAGAAAAAAAAGAAAGUUUCCAAUCUCAUUUUAUCUUCAUUACUUUCUACACCAAAAUUGGGUCCCACAACCCGGUUCUUUGUCUAGAGGAUAGCAGUUGAGUACUAGUGGUGGUCUCGGGUAGAAUUGGUAAGAAGACAUCAAACCUUUUGAAAGCUUCAAAGGUAAUACUUCUUAAAACCCUAAUUUGAUUAGUUUAUGGUUAGAUGUUAAUUGUGGCAAUUAGGGUAGAAAUUCGAUUCUUUUUCCGCUGUGCAUGACUUAGUUCUAUCAUGUGGUAUCAGAGCAUGCUUCAUUUUUACCCAAUUGCAUGUGGUGGGUUCAUAUUUAUUAGAUAAAUUUUGGUUUGAACUAAAAUGGAUAUAUUAUGAUUUUGGCUCUAGAUUAAGUGUUUUUGUUCUAAUUAUUGUAAUUAGCCUUGUUAAUGGCUUAUUUUUAUUGUUGCAAAGUGUUUGUAAUUUUUAAAAAAAAUAAAAAAAGUCAUUAGAGUUGAAGCUAGGCUGUAAUUGGUUCAACCGGGUGAGAGAAUUGAAAAAAAAUGAAGAAAAGAAGGUCACAGACCCGAAAACCCGGUUUUGACCCGCUUCGCGACCCGCACGCGCCCUCCUGCGCCCGCGCGCCCUCCUGCGCCGCGCGGCGCCGCCGCACGCCCUCCUGCGCCCGCGCGCCCUCCUGCGCCCGCGCGCCUGCAUGCGCCCGUGCGCCCGCCUGUGCCCACGCGCCGCCAUGCGCCUGCGCGCCUGCCUUCGCACGACCCGUGUGCGCCUGGGCCGGUUCAAGCCAAUAAAUUUGGUUUUUGGGCCGGUUCAAGCGGUUUCGGUUGGUUUUUUAGCCGGUUCGAAGUUUUUGGGAGUGGUUCUGUACUACACCAAAUUAAUUAUGUAAUAAUUUAGCACUUAGCUUAAUUUAGGAGCCAAAAAUCAGUCCAUUUUAGGGUGUUUUUUUUUUAUUUAUGCAUGUGAUGUAUGAUUAAAUUACUUUAAAUUUGUAUGUGCAUUUUGAAUGUCAUAUAGAUUUAAAAUCCCACCAUAGGUUAACAUGUUCAUGCAUUAAAAUGUAUGAUAUAAAGGUUAUAUUGUAUUGUAUGCAUGUUAAUUGAUUAAUAUGGAAAUUAAUUAAUAUGAUUAAUUAAUUAUUUAAUUAAUUAAGUUAUUCUUGAUUAAAUAUGAUUUAAUCAAAUUAAUUAAUUAUUGUUUGAUUUAAUUUAAUUAAAUAUGAUUUAAUUAAAUUAAAAAUUAAAUAUGAUUUAAUUAAAGUUAAAUAAAUUAAAAUCCAUAUUAAUUGGAUUGUUUUUAUAAGGUUAUAUAUUGAUAAAAUGAUUGAUUAAGUUUAAAAGUUUUUAUAAGUGUUAUAAAAUAAAUUAGACUUUUAAAAUCAAUAACAAAGAUUAAAUGCAUGCUCACUUAGGUUAAACAUAUCUUCCAUUUUUCAUAGAAAUAGGUCGAUAUCUUGUAAAACUGGUUACAAAAGGCUCACCUGGUUCAAUCUUGUCAACAAGUCAGAUAAGAUGACUAAGGUUGGAGGUUCUUAAGUUGACGGUUUACGGAACACCUCCUACCUGGAGAUCGUAAUCAGUUCUUGAGCCUAGUUAACCUAGUUUUAUGAGCAUUCGUGAGAGGUGUGAGGUAAUAAAAAUGGUUUUUCACCUAGACAUCAUAGGUUAAAAUCCUGUAUAAUGGUUAUACUUGGAUGUUUUAUCUAGACUUAAGAUUUGUUUAAGUUAGCCUAAAUAUAAAUCUUGAAGUUUGGAUUACCCUAUUUUUUUCUUUUAGAACACUUCAACUAGAGAAAAAUAAUGUAUUUUAGCUCUAGUGUCCCUAAGAGUUCACACCGUGAGGUCCAUGCAGGGCUUUGUGCCGUGCAUAGGAGCGGCCUCCCUUCGGAGAGUGUUUGCAUGGAUCAAAAUCAAGGUGAAUAGGGGAAGUAGUUCAUAGUAAGUGGGUGAGGGAUUUGUGGCAGCACAUCCCACGGUCUCUUCCAUUAGGUCGCACCGUGAGAUUUCUAUAAUAUGCCUGCUUGUCUGCCCUGGAGCGACGUUCCCUUCGGAGGGUUGUAUUAUAGGAUUCGGAACACCGCGAACUCCAAAACUGGAUAGGAUUUCUUAGAUUAGUUUUCAUAAAUGAUUCUAAUCUAUAAAAUCUGAAAAUGGUGGGUAACACUUACAAGAAUUACUAAGUUGUUAGUAUAUUCUUGACUAAAGUAGCGAUAACUAAGUGCUAUAAAGAAUAAAGAGUUAUUCUUGAGAUAGCAUCUAGUCAAGAUUGUCUUGGUUCAAAGGAGGAAUAAUCAACUACCCUUCGGAGAAGGUUGUUCUAAACCUUUGAAAUAUUGUUGCAAAAUACAAAUAAUGAAAGGGUACAUUAUUAGUAAUUGCUAAAUUAGAUUGGAUAUUUUUUAUGAUUAUAGUUUUUUCCUAAAAAGAAUAUGUUUGUUUUUCAGCAUGAAUAGCUCAAUAGUUCAACUUUUAGCUUCCGAAAAACUUAAUGGCGAUAAUUAUGCGGCUUGGAAAUCAAAUCUUAACACAAUACUAGUGGUUGACGAUUUAAGAUUUGUCUUAACUGAGGAAUGUCCUCAAAACCCUGCCUCUAAUGCUAACCGAACUAGUCGGGAUGCAUAUGAUCGAUGGAUAAAAGCUAAUGAAAAAGCCCGUGUCUACAUUCUUGCCAGCAUGUCUGAUGUAUUGGCAAAGAAACAUGAAUCCUUAGCCACGGCUAAAGAGAUUAUGGAUUCAUUAAGGGGAAUGUUUGGGCAACCAGAAUGGUCCUUAAGACACGAGGCAGUCAAAUACAUUUACACUAAGCGUAUGAAGGAAGGGACCUCUGUUAGAGAACAUGUUCUGGACAUGAUGAUGCACUUCAACAUCGCUGAAGUGAAUGGUGGUCCCAUCGAAGAGGUUAAUCAAGUUAGUUUUAUCUUAGAGUCUCUUCCGAAGAGCUUCAUUCCAUUCCAAACGAAUGCGUCUUUGAACAAGAUAGAAUUUAACUUGACAACCCUUCUGAAUGAACUCCAGCGAUUCCAAAACCUAACUAUGGGUAAAGGAAAACAAGUGGAAGCAAAUGUUGCUACCACAAAAAGAAAAUUUAUAAGAGGAUCGUCCUCUAAAACCAAAGCUGGACCCUCAAAACCUAAUGCUCAAAUAAAAAAGAAGGGAAAGGGAAAGACUCCCAAACAGAACAAGGGUAAGAAAGGUGCAGAAAAAGGUAAGUGUUACCAUUGUGGCCAAAACGGGCACUGGUUAAGAAACUGCCCAAAAUACCUUGCAGAAAAAAAGGCAGAGAAGGAAACACAAGGUAAAUAUGAUUUACUAGUUGUAGAAACAUGUUUAGUGGAAUAUGAAAAUUGUACCUGGAUACUAGAUUCAGGAGCCACUAAACCAUAUUUGCUUCUCAUUUCAGGAAAAUAGUUCUUGGAAAAAGCUUUCAGAAGGCGAGAUCACUCUCAAGGUUGGAACAUGAGAGAGAUGGUCUCAACUUCAGCAGUGGGAGAUUUAAAGUUGUUUUUUAGAGAUAGAUAUGUCAUACUUAAGAAUGUCUUAUAUGUACCUCAAAUGAAAAGAAAUUUAAUAUCUAUCUCUUGUAUUUUGGAACAAAUGUAUAGAAUAUCUUUUGAAAUUAAUGAAGCGUUCGUUUUCUAUAAAGGUAUUCUAGUUUGUUCUGCUAUACUUGAAGACAACUUAUAUAAGUUAAGACCAACCAGAGCAAAUUUUGUCUUAAAUACUGAAAUUAUUCAGAACAGCUGAAACUCAGAAUAAAAGACAAAAAGUUUCUUCUAAUGCCUAUUUAUGGCACUUAAGACUUGGUCACAUAAAUCUCAAUAGGAUUGGGAGAUUAGUUAAAAGUGGGCUUCUAAGUCCGUUAGAAGAUAACUCUUUACCUCCUUGUGAAUCUUGUCUUGAAGGAAAAAUGACCAAGAGAUCUUUUACUGGAAAAGGUCUAAGAGCCAAAGGACCCUUAGAGCUCGUACAUUCGGACCUUUUGUGGACCAAUGAAUGUCAAAACUCGAGGUGGAUAUGAAUAUUUCAUUAGCUUCAUUGAUGAUUAUUCAAGGUAUGGUCAUAUUUACCUAAUACAUCAUAAGUCUAAUAGUCUUGAAAAGUUCAAAGAAUAUAAGGCUGAAGUAGAAAACGAAUUAGGUAAAACAAUAAAAAUACUUCGAUCAGAUCGAGGUGGAGAGUAUAUGGACUUACGAUUCCGAGACUAUUUAAUAGAAAAUGGAAUCCAGUCACAACUCUCUGCACCUAGUACACCUCAACAGAACGGUGUAUCAGAAAGAAGAAACCGGACCUUGUUAGACAUGGUUCGCUCUAUGAUGAGUUUUUCUCAGAUGUCAGAUUCUUUUUUGGGGAUAUGCUUUAGAAACAGCUGCUUAUAUUUUGAAUAAUGUUCCCUCUAAAAGUGUUUCAGAAACACCUUAUGAGCUAUGGAAAGGGCGUAAAGGCAGUUUACGUCAUUUUAGAAUUUGGGGUUGUCCAGCACACGUGUUGGUACAAAAUCCAAAGAAAUUGGAACAUCGUUCAAAAUUAUGCUUUUUAUAGGUUAUCCAAAAGAAUCAAGAGGUGGUUUGUUUUAUGAUCCUCAAGAAAAUAAAAUAUUUGUGUCAACAAAUGCCACAUUCUUAGAGGAAGACCACAUCAGGGAUCAUCAACCUCGUAGUAAACUAGUAUUAAAAGAAAUUUCCAAAAGUGCUAUAGAUAAACCUAGUUCAUCCACUAAGGUAGUUGAUAAGACUAGGAAAUCUGGUCAAUCACAUCCUUCUCAACAGUUGAGAGAGCCUCGACGUAGUGGGAGGGUUGUUCAUCAGCCUGAUCGCUAUUUGGGUUUAAUUGAAACUCAAGUCGUCAUACCUGACGAUGGCAUAGAGGAUCCAUUAACCUAUAAACAGGCAAUGAAAGAUGUAGAUCGUGAUGAAAAGGAUCAAAGCCAUGGAAGCCAUGGACUCGAAAUGGAGUCUAUGUACUUUAAUUCUGUCUAGACUCUAGUAGAUCAACCAAAUGACGUAAAACCUAUUGGUUGUAAAUGGAUCUACAAGAGAAAACGAGACCAUGCCGGUAAAGUACAGACUUUUAAGGCUCGACUUGUGGCAAAGGGUUAUACCCUAGAGAGAGGGAGUAGACUAUGAGGAAACUUUCUCUCCUGUUGCCAUGUUAAAGUCAAUUAGAAUACUCUUAUCCAUCGCCACUUUUUAUGAUUAUGAAAUUUGGCAGAUGGAUGUCAAGACAGCUUUUUUGAACGGUAAUCUUGAAGAGAGCAUCUAUAUGUCUCAACCAGAGGGGUUUAUAAAACAAGAUCAAGAACAAAAGGUUUGUAAGCUUAAAAAAAUCCAUUUAUGGAUUAAAACAAGCUUCUAGAUCCUGGAAUAUAAGAUUUGAUAUUGCGAUCAAAAUCUUAUGGCUUUGAACAAAAUGUUGACGAGCCUUGUGUUUACAAAAGGUCGUCAAUUCCAUUAUAGCAUUUUUAGUCUUAUAUGUAGAUGAUAUUCUACUUAUUGGAAAUGACGUAGGAUAUCUUACUGAUAUCAAGAAAUGGCUAGCUAUGCAAUUUCAAAUGAAAGAUCUGGGAGAUGCACAAUACGUUCUCGGAAUCCAAAUUGUUCGAAACCGUAAGAACAAAACACUAGCCAUGUCUCAAGCAUCUUACAUAGACAAAAAUGUUGUCUAGAUAUAAAAUGCAGAAUUCCAAAAAGGGUCUGCUGCCGUACAGAUAUGGAAUUCAUUUGUCAAAGGAACAAUGUCCUAAGACACCUCAAGAAGUUGAGGAUAUGAGAAAUAUUCCCUAUGCUUCCGCUGUUGGAAGUUUAAUGUAUGCAAUGUUAUGUACUAGACCUGACAUUUGCUACUCAGUAGGGAUGGUCAGUAGGUAUGGUCAGUAGGUAUCAAUCCAAUCAUGGACGUGAUCACUGGACAGCCGUUAAAAACAUUCUACAUGCUCAUGUAUCGUACAAAGGAUAUGAUCCUUACUGGAUACACUGAUUCGGAUUUCCAAACUAAUAAAGAUGUUAGAAAGUCUACAUCAGAAUCAGUAUUUACUCUAAAUGGAGGAGCAGUAGUUUGGAGAAGCAUAAAGCAAACUUGUAUAGCUGAUUCCACAAUGGAAGCUGAUCAUUUUACAAAAGCCCUCACGGCUAAAGUGUUUGAGGGUCACCUACACAGUUUAGGUGUACGAUGUUUGUAAACUAGGACAAGUGGGAGACUUAUUGGCCAUGUGCCCUAGUUUCAUAUAUAUUCUCUCACACCACAUCUCUCAUACCACUAGGAAUUUUAGUCCAAGUGGGAGUUUGUUGGAAUUUUUUGUCCUAAAACUCGUAGUUUGUAAAUCAUAUUCUAUUCAAUAAAGUUGUUAUUGAGAAAUUAAAUAUUAUAAUCUUAAAUCCAAUAAAUCAAAGUUCCAAGGCUAUUUUUUGAAUAAACUUGAACUUUAUGUGUAAACAUAAACGUGGAUCAAGUUCGAGUAUAUAGCCUAAAUAGUCUAUAGUAUAUGAAAUAAAGGUUGGGCGCCUUAUUUUGAGAGACUAUGGAUGCGGCCCACUUUGUAGUACAAACGAUGUGAUCCUAAUCGUUCAUGUAGAGACAUGAAAGUGGGGGCAUCCUAUGUAAAAUGUUUACAUAAGACUGAACCAUGAAUUAGUCAUUUUUACGUUAUAACACCGUUUACUGUUUAAAACUGACUAUCUCAAUUAUUGAUGACCUAGGUAACUUAGUCUUAAUCCUGAGUUAACUAUGAACUCCUGUUCAUACGAGAUUAUCCUUAGAUCUGCAUAGGUGAGGGCAGCUCAUCAGCGUUGGCCCAAUAAGCCUCCCAUUUCAGGGGUAAGAUCGGGUGGAUAGCUGGGAACAUAGGGUACAAGAUGGAAUUCACUCCUACCCGCUUUAGGGUUAGUAGAUAGGUUGCUCUCUUAAGCACUGAAUCCAAGUCUUGAACAAGGGGCCCCACCCUCUCAUUGGCCCGAGAGGGAUUAAGUUUAUAGGUUGAACCUUAAACCAAUUGUUCAAUAGUGGAUUAGUGGGACUUAAGGAGCAAGAUGUAAUCUUGGGGGUAAAACGGUAUUUUGACCCAGCCAAGGUUACGAGCAACCUGUGAAGGAUUAACUUACUGAUUAUGGUUUUAUCAAAUGGACACAAAUAUAUCUAUAGUGAGGGGAGUGCAACUACGGGACUUUAGUGGAAUGACCCGUUAGUUAACGAAUGUUGAUUAACUCGGUUUAAAAGAGUUUAGCUAGUUAAUCUUGAAUCGUUGGAGCCCAUGAUCUAUAGGUCCAUUAGGUUCCUCUGCUAGCUCAUAUGGAUUAAACUUAGAACAGUGUGAUGAAAUAAGUCGAAUUGUUCGAAUAGGGAGAAGAAAGGAAAACCGACAUAUACAGUGAUAUAAUCGUCGGUCUUCUAAUUAGAAAUAGAGCUUUAUGUUUUACAUACUAUAAGUAUGAAUGCGGAUUCAUACUAAGAAGCUCGGAAUUGGUCAAAAAUAGUAAAAAGUCAAAAUGUUGACUUUUGACUUUGAAAAGUCAAACUUUGACCGGCCUUAUAUUCAAAUGUGAUUUGAAUUUUGGAAAAAUGAAUGCGGAUUCAUGCUCGGGAGGUUGGAAUUAGUCAAGACGGACAAAAUGGUAAAAAGUCAAAAUAUUGACUUUUGACUUAGAAAAGUCAAAGUUUGACUUUUGACUAGAAAAAAUCUAAUGACCAUUUUACCCUUGGACUAAGUUAGUGGGAAAAUCCAACAUUUUGUUGGAUAAUCCCACUAACUCUUAGUGGGAUAUGUGGCUAUAUGAGAUAUAGACACCUAGCCCACUAAGUUCCACUAAUUGUUAGUGGAAUAUUAGGUGUUGAGAUUUGGCAAUUGAAUUGCAUGCAUUUUUGCAUGUAAUUAGGCUAUAAAUAGAGAUGUUUUCAAAUGUUGAAGGACUUUUGCCUCUUUUAUCAUUUUCAUAAUCUCAACAAAAGAAAAAAGAAAGCUUCCAAUCUCAUUUUAUCUCCAUUACUUUCUACACCAAAAUUGGGUCCCACAACCCGGUUCUUUGUCUAGAGGAUAGCAGUUGAGUACUAGUGGUGGUCUCGGGUAGAAUUGGUAAGAAGACAUCAAACCUUUUGUAAGCUUCAAAGGUAAUACUUCUUAAAACCCUAAUUUGAUUAGUUUAUGGUUACAUGUUAAUUGUGGCAAUUAGGGUAGAAAUUCGAUUCUUUUUCCGCUGUGCAUGACUNNNNNNNNNNGUGGAAUAUGAAAAUUGUACCUGGAUACUAGAUUCAGGAGCCACUAACCAUAUUUGCUUCUCAUUUCAGGAAAAUAGUUCUUGAAAAAGCUUUCAGAAGGCGAGAUCACUCUCAAGGUUGGAACAGGAGAGAUGGUCUCAACUUCAGCAGUGGGAGAUUUAAAGUUGUUUUUUAGAGAUAGAUAUGUCAUACUUAAGAAUGUCUUAUAUGUACCUCAAAUGAAAAGAAAUUUAAUAUCUAUCUCUUGUAUUUUGGAACAAAUGUAUAGAAUAUCUUUUGAAAUUAAUGAAGCGUUCGUUUUCUAUAAAGGUAUUCUAGUUUGUUCUGCUAUACUUGAAGACAACUUAUAUAAGUUAAGACCAACCAGAGCAAAUUUUGUCUUAAAUACUGAAAUAUUCAGAACAGCUGAAACUCAGAAUAAAAGACAAAAAGUUUCUUCUAAUGCCUAUUUAUGGCACUUAAGACUUGGUCACAUAAAUCUCAAUAGGAUUGGGAGAUUAGUUAAAAGUGGGCUUCUAAAUCAGUUAGAAAAUAAUACUUUACUCUCUUGUGAAUCUUGUCUUGAAAAAUGACCAAGAGAUCUUUUACUGGAAAAGGUCUAAGAGCCAAAGACCCUUAGAGCUCGUACAUUCGGACCUUUGUGGACCAAUGAAUGUCAAAGCUCGAGGUGGAUAUGAAUAUUUCAUUAGCUUCAUUGAUGAUUAUUCAAGGUAUGGUCAUAUUUACCUAAUACAUCAUAAGUCUAAUAGUCUUGAAAAGUUCAAAGAAUAUAAGGCUGAAGUAGAAAACGAAUUAGGUAAAACAAUAAAAAUACUUCGAUCAGAUCGAGGUGGAGAGUAUAUGGACUUACGAUUCCGAGACUAUUUAAUAGAAAAUGGAAUCCAGUCACAACUCUCUGCACCUAGUACACCUCAACAGAACGGUGUAUCAGAAAGAAGAAACGGACCUUGUUAGACAUGGUUCGCUCUAUGAUGAGUUUUUCUCAGAUGUCAGAUUCUUUUUGGGGAUAUGCUUUAGAAACAGCUGCUUAUAUUUUGAAUAAUGUUCCCUCUAAAAGUGUUUCAGAAACACCUUAUGAGCUAUGGAAAGGGCGUAAAGGCAGUUUACGUCAUUUUAGAAUUUGGGGUUGUCCAGCACACGUGUUGGUACAAAAUCCAAAGAAAUUGGAACAUCGUUCAAAAUUAUGCUUUUUUAUAGGUUAUCCAAAAGAAUCAAGAGGUGGUUUGUUUUAUGAUCCUCAAGAAAAUAAAAUAUUGUGUCAACAAAUGCCACAUUCUUAGAGGAAGACCACAUCAGGGAUCAUCAACCUCGUAGUAAACUAGUAUUAAAAGAAAUUUCCAAAAGUGCUAUAGAUAAACCUAGUUCAUCCACUAAGGUAGUUGAUAAGACUAGGAAAUCUGGUCAAUCACAUCCUUCUCAACAGUUGAGAGAGCCUCGACGUAGUGGGAGGGUUGUUCAUCAGCCUGAUCGCUAUUUGGGUUUAAUUGAAACUCAAGUCGUCAUACCUGACGAUGGCAUAGAGGAUCCAUUAACCUAUAAACAGGCAAUGAAAGAUGUAGAUCGUGACCAAUGGAUCAAAGCCAUGGACCUCGAAAUGGAGUCUAUGUACUUUAAUUUCUGUCUGGACUCUAUAGUAAAUCAACAAAUGACGUAAAACCUAUUGGUUGUAAAUGGAUCUACAAGAGAAAACGAGACCAUGCCGGUAAAGUACAGACUUUCAAGGCUCGACUUGUGGCAAAGGGUUAUACCUGAGAGAGGGAGUAGACUAUGAGGAAACUUUCUCUCCGUUGCCAUGUUAAAGUCAAUUAGAAUACUCUUAUCCAUCGCCACUUUUUAUGAUUAUGAAAUUUGGCAGAUGGAUGUCAAGACAGCUUUUUUGAAAUAAUCUUGAAGAGAGUAUCUAUAUGUCUCAACCAGAGGGGUUUAUAGAACAAGAUCAAGAACAAAAGGUUUGUAAGCUUAAAAAAUCCAUUUAUGGAUUAAAACAAGCUUCUAGAUCCUGGAAUAUAAGAUUUGAUAUGCGAUCAAAUCUUAUGGCUUUGAACAAAAUGUUGACGAGCCUUGUGUUUACAAAAGGUCGUCAAUUCCAUUAUAGCAUUUUUAGUCUUAUAUGUAGAUGAUAUUCUACUUAUUGGAAAUGACGUAGGAUAUCUUACUGAUAUCAAGAAAUGGCUAGCUAUGCAAUUUCAAAUGAAAGAUCUGGGAGAUGCACAAUACGUUCUCGGAAUCCAAAUUGUUCGAAACCGUAAGAACAAAACACUAGCCAUGUCUCAAGCAUCUUACAUAGACAAAAUGUUGUCUAGAUAUAAAAUGCAGAAUUCCAAAAAGGGUCUGCUGCCGUACAGAUAUGGAAUUCAUUUGUCAAAGGAACAAUGUCCUAAGACACCUCAAGAAGUUGAGGAUAUGAGAAAUAUUCCCUAUGCUUCCGCUGUUGGAAGUUUAAUGUAUGCAAUGUUAUGUACUAGACCUGACAUUUGCUACUCAGUAGGGAUGGUCAGUAGGUAUCAAUCCAAUCAUGGACGUGAUCACUGGACAGCCGUUAAAAACAUUCUACAUGCUCAUGUAUCGUACAAAGGAUAUGAUCCUUACUGGAUACACUGAUUCAGAUUUCCAAACUAAUAAAGAUGUUAGAAAGUCUACAUCAGAAUCAGUAUUUACUCUAAAUGGAGGAGCAGUAGUUUGGAGAAGCAUAAAGCAAACUUGUAUAGCUGAUUCCACAAUGGAAGCUGAUCAUUUUACAAAAGCCCUCAUGCUAAAGUGUUUGAGGGUCACCUACACAGUUUAGGUGUACGAUGUUUGUAAACUAGGACAAGUGGGAGACUUAUUGGCCAUGUGCCCUAGUUUCAUAUAUAUUCUCUCACACCACAUCUCUCAUACCACUAGGAAUUUUAGUCCAAGUGGGAGUUUGUUGGAAUUUUUUGUCCUAAAACUCGUAGUUUGUAAAUCAUAUUCUAUUCAAUAAAGUUGUUAUUGAGAAAUUAAAUAUUAUAAUCUUAAAUCCAAUAAAUCAAAGUUCCAAGGCUAUUUUUUGAAUAAACUUGAACUUUAUGUGUAAACAUAAACGUGGAUCAAGUUCGAGUAUAUAGCCUAAAUAGUCUAUAGUAUAUGAAAUAAAGGUUGGGCGCCUUAUUUUGAGAGACUAUGGAUGCGGCCCACUUUGUAGUACAAACGAUGUGAUCCUAAUCGUUCAUGUAGAGACAUGAAAGUGGGGGCAUCCUAUGUAAAAUGUUUACAUAAGACUGAACCAUGAAUUAGUCAUUUUUACGUUAUAACACCGUUUACUGUUUAAAACUGACUAUCUCAAUUAUUGAUGACCUAGGUAACUUAGUCUUAAUCCUGAGUUAACUAUGAACUCCUGUUCAUACGAGAUUAUCCUUAGAUCUGCAUAGGUGAGGGCAGCUCAUCAGCGUUGGCCCAAUAAGCCUCCCAUUUCAGGGGUAAGAUCGGGUGGAUAGCUGGGAACAUAGGGUACAAGAUGGAAUUCACUCCUACCCGCUUUAGGGUUAGUAGAUAGGUUGCUCUCUUAAGCACUGAAUCCAAGUCUUGAACAAGGGGCCCCACCCUCUCAUUGGCCCGAGAGGGAUUAAGUUUAUAGGUUGAACCUUAAACCAAUUGUUCAAUAGUGGAUUAGUGGGACUUAAGGAGCAAGAUGUAAUCUUGGGGGUAAAACGGUAUUUUGACCCAGCCAAGGUUACGAGCAACCUGUGAAGGAUUAACUUACUGAUUAUGGUUUUAUCAAAUGGACACAAAUAUAUCUAUAGUGAGGGGAGUGCAACUACGGGACUUUAGUGGAAUGACCCGUUAGUUAACGAAUGUUGAUUAACUCGGUUUAAAAGAGUUUAGCUAGUUAAUCUUGAAUCGUUGGAGCCCAUGAUCUAUAGGUCCAUUAGGUUCCUCUGCUAGCUCAUAUGGAUUAAACUUAGAACAGUGUGAUGAAAUAAGUCGAAUUGUUCGAAUAGGGAGAAGAAAGGAAAACCGACAUAUACAGUGAUAUAAUCGUCGGUCUUCUAAUUAGAAAUAGAGCUUUAUGUUUUACAUACUAUAAGUAUGAAUGCGGAUUCAUACUAAGAAGCUCGGAAUUGGUCAAAAAUAGUAAAAAGUCAAAAUGUUGACUUUUGACUUUGAAAAGUCAAACUUUGACCGGCCUUAUAUUCAAAUGUGAUUUGAAUUUUGGAAAAAUGAAUGCGGAUUCAUGCUCGGGAGGUUGGAAUUAGUCAAGACGGACAAAAUGGUAAAAAGUCAAAAUAUUGACUUUUGACUUAGAAAAGUCAAAGUUUGACUUUUGACUAGAAAAAUCUAAUGACCAUUUUACCCUUGGACUAAGUUAGUGGGAAAAUCCAACAUUUUGUUGGAUAAUCCCACUAACUCUUAGUGGGAUAUGUGGCUAUAUGAGAUAUAGACACCUAGCCCACUAAGUUCCACUAAUUGUUAGUGGAAUAUUAGGUGUUGAGAUUUGGCAAUUGAAUUGCAUGCAUUUUUGCAUGUAAUUAGGCUAUAAAUAGAGAUGUUUUCAAAUGUUGAAGGACUUUUGCCUCUUUUAUCAUUUUCAUAAUCUCAACAAAAGAAAAAAGAAAGCUUCCAAUCUCAUUUUAUCUCCAUUACUUUCUACACCAAAAUUGGGUCCCACAACCCGGUUCUUUGUCUAGAGGAUAGCAGUUGAGUACUAGUGGUGGUCUCGGGUAGAAUUGGUAAGAAGACAUCAAACCUUUUGAAAGCUUCAAAGGUAAUACUUCUUAAAACCCUAAUUUGAUUAGUUUAUGGUUAGAUGUUAAUUGUGGCAAUUAGGGUAGAAAUUCGAUUCUUUUUCCGCUGUGCAUGACUUAGUUCUAUCA